rnacentral:rRNA from 1 species
GACGAACGCUGGCGGCGUGCUUAACACAUACAAGUCGAACGGAAAGGCCCUGCUUUUGUGGGGUGCUCGAGUGGCGAACGGGUGAGUAACACGUGAGUAACCUGCCCUUGACUUUGGGAUAACUUCAGGAAACUGGGGCUAAUACCGGAUAGGAGCUCCUGCUGCAUGGUGGGGGUUGGAAAGUUUCGGCGGUUGGGGAUGGACUCGCGGCUUAUCAGCUUGUUGGUGGGGUAGUGGCUUACCAAGGCUUUGACGGGUAGCCGGCCUGAGAGGGUGACCGGCCACAUUGGGACUGAGAUACGGCCCAGACUCCUACGGGAGGCAGCAGUGGGGAAUAUUGCACAAUGGGCGGAAGCCUGAUGCAGCAACGCCGCGUGCGGGAUGACGGCCUUCGGGUUGUAAACCGCUUUCGCCUGUGACGAAGCGUGAGUGACGGUAAUGGGUAAAGAAGCACCGGCUAACUACGUG